GCAAAAAAACCUGCUGCACUUACACAUCAGCAGCAGGUAAAAAAAAAAAACCUCUCCACAAACCCUAACUGAAGCAGCGCCGACUCCUCUCCUCAUCGCUUCCUUCUCCUCCCUCUCCGAAUCCCCUCCUCUCUCGCCGAAGUUCGUCGCUAAGCAGAGCCGCCCUCCUCUCCUCUCGCCGAAGCUCGUCGCGAAGCAGAGCCGCCCUCCUCCUCGUCGCGAAGCAGAGUUGCUUCGCCCUCCUCUCCUCGUCGCGAAGCAGAGCCGCCUCCCUCUCUCACCGAAGCUCGUCGCGAAGCAGAGCCGCCCUCCUCUCCUCGUCGCGUUCCUCUCUCGCCGCGAGACCCCUCUCUCGCUCGCGAGACCCCUCGUCACAUUCUCUCGCAGCUGAUCUUCUUCGACACUAGGGCAUUUCUCUCCGCCGAACUAGGUGGCCUCUACUUCAGUGGCUCUGCAGGAUAUCAGUUUCUUACCGGAGAGUCAAAGAGCAAUCAUCCCAAGGCUGAACAAGAAGCAGCAUUUCAGUGGAAGCAUGAUUGAAACAAACAAGUUCAAAGAGGCGACUGGAAGGAGUUCCUAAGUUGAAGCGAUCAUCUUCCUUCAAUGAGGAUAGGUAAUCCAGACUCAACUCUUAAUAUUAUUGAUUUACUAAAUCGAUCAUAUUAACACAAAGCACCAACUUUUUUACUUGAAAUCUUGAUGAAAUUGUUGCUUUUACGUGACCUAUUUGCAAUAGGCUUGUUUUACACUUACCUUACUCAAUGGAACAGUGUUCAGUCCUCGGAUGCUCAUGUUAGUCUUCUAAAUUAUACUAUUUUUUAUGCAUGAAAUUCCCAAUAUGUAGGAGCUACGAUAUGCCUUGUUCAACAAGGGAGAGUGAAAAGAUUGGGGAUUCAUCUCAACCGAAGUACCCCUCCGGGGCUUCCAAAAACAUAUCCGACAUGAACUCCAUGUCUGAUGAUAAUGCAACAAAGAUAUCCCCCGUUUCAGAUGCAAGAAAGUCCUCUGCAUGGAUGGACAUUCCUAGGUCUUCGCCUCUCCGUUCGUCAACUGAUGGAAGUAAAAGAUCAAGAGAGUGUGACCCAGUUAAGGGCUCAUCCAUUGGGUUAAAGUCUUUCCAAGAAUUCAAAGAGAAGGUGAUCAGGAUCGAAGAAAGUUGAGUUAUAUAUAUUGUUAUCACUAAACUUGUUUUGGUUUUUAAUUUCUUUCCUUCAACUUCGAUUUGGUGCCUAUUGCUGCAGGCUUACUUCUGGAGCUAGGGUUAUAAUAGUAUCUAGAUCUGAUGAUAAUGAAAAUUUUUGACUUCCGAAUUCCAACAAAUAUAUGCAUUAUCUCUCUCAGUUCGCAAUCGUAGAGCAUUGAAGUUCUUGCAAGUGCCAUUGGUUCGACACGUCGUUCCUCAACUUAUUUGAGCUAUUUCAGAAGCAUUGAUUUGCUUUCUUCUACCAACCAUUGUUAUAUUCUUCUAAUUUCCUCGAAGAUAAACUAAAUUUUCUCUUUAUUUCAGUGGCUUGAUAAUUAUGUGCAUGCUGUUUCGAUACACUAUGUACUAUGUAGAAUUAACAGAGCAGCUCCUACUUUAUUAACUAGGUCCUUCGACACACUUUGAUUAGAACACUUAGCUUAUGAUAUUAACUUUCUUCGUCGCA